AGAGUUUGAUCCUGGCUCAGGAUGAACGCUGGCGGCGUGCCUAAUACAUGCAAGUCGAGCGAGAUGUUAGCGCAUGAACCUUCGGGGGAUUAUGCUAACGGACAGCGGCGGACGGGUGAGUAACGCGUAGGCAACCUGCCCCUGACAGAGGGAUAGCCAUUGGAAACGAUGAUUAAAACCUCAUGACACCGUAGAAGCACAUGCUUCAUCGGUCAAAGAUUUAUCGGUCAGGGAUGGGCCUGCGUCUGAUUAACUAGUUGGUGAGGUAACGGCUCACCAAGGUGACGAUCAGUAGCCGACCUGAGAGGGUGAUCGGCCACAUUGGAACUGAGACACGGUCCAAACUUCUACGGAAGGCAGCAGUAGGGAAUCUUGCACAAUGGGCGAAAGCCUGAUGCAGCAACGCCGCGUGAAGGAUGAAGGCCUUCGGGUUGUAAACUUCUGUUCUAAGGGAAGAAACAAAUGACGGUACCUUAGGAGCAAGCCCCGGCUAACUACGUGCCAGCAGCCGCGGUAAUACGUAGGGGGCAAGCGUUAUCCGGAAUUAUUGGGCGUAAAGAGUGCGUAGGUGGUUACCUAAGCGCAAGGUUUAAUUUAGAGGCUCAACCUCUACUUGCCUUGCGAACUGGGCUACUUGAGUGCAGGAGGGGAAAGCGGAAUUCCUAGUGUAGCGGUGAAAUGCGUAGAUAUUAGGAGGAACACCAGCGGCGAAGGCGGCUUUCUGGACUGUAACUGACACUGAGGCACGAAAGCGUGGGUAGCAAACAGGAUUAGAUACCCUGGUAGUCCACGCCGUAAACGAUGAGCACUAGGUG
rnacentral:rRNA from 1 species